rnacentral:other from 1 species
AAGUGUCUUGUGGGCUGAUGACAAAAGUAAACCCUACAAGCCAAUAGCAUUGGGGACUGUCCCUGGGAAUGGUGAGCAAGCUCAUUUCGAUUGAGAAGCCUAAAGUUCCUAUAAUGGUCGCCCACUUUGUGAAUCAUGGGUUUACUUGGAUCACUCAGACCCACAAGGUAUUUU